rnacentral:rRNA from 1 species
UACGUAGGGUGCAAGCGUUGUCCGGAAUUAUUGGGCGUAAAGAGCGUGUAGGCGGCCCGAUUAGUCCGCUGUGAAAGUCCAGGGCUCAACCCUGGAAUGCCGGUGGAUACUGUCGGGCUAGAGUCCGGAAGGGGCGAGUGGAAUUCCUGGUGUAGCGGUGAAAUGCGCAGAUAUCAGGAGGAACACCUAUUGCGAAGGCAGCUCGCUGGGACGUAACUGACGCUGAGACGCGAAAGCGUGGGGAGCAAACAGG